AGGAGAUGGGCCGGGCCGGGCCGGGUGGCGCAGCCGGUGGGCUUCGUAAGGGUCCAUGGGAGUGGACGAUCCAGCGCCAUACCAGAUCAGAGGCAGGAUCAGGGUGCACGACCUAACACCACAGAUCCUCCAGUUCAGGUGGACGCUCCCGCUCUGAGAGAGCUAACGGUAACCGGGGCGAAGUGACUGAGGUGUGCCUUUGGUCUGAACAACUGGGAUGAUGAUGAAAUCCGAGCAUCAGUGCUGGCUGUGUCCCAACAAGAACACCGAGACAGUAUGAAGAAAAACAAAGUGCACAGAGAUCCACCCUCAGACAAGAGUUGAUGGAGACCCAGAGACUGAAGACCAUAUCCCAAUCUCUCCACUCCUGCCACCUCAGCUUCUUUGGCUUUCUCCCUCUUCCCUUCUUCCUCAUCCCCACUUCCCUCUUGUCUACCCGUGUCCCCUCUCAUGGCUGCCACCACCAUCAUCACCUGUCUCUACACCAGCUGACGUGCCCUGAUGCCCCCUGCACAACACCAUCCCUGUAUUGCAGAGGGCACUCAGGCAGGGAUGCUGAAGGUUGUACCUGCAGUGAACUUUACAGAACAGAAAUGCAAAAAUGAAGGAAGAUAAAGUCCCCUAAAGCAAAAUCCCAAACUGGAAAUCUAACAUACAAGAUCGGUACACCAAGAAGUAAUGUGACAUACUGCCCUGGCUGGUGUGACUCAAUGGAUUGAACACUGGCCUGCAAACGAAAGGAUCGCUGGUUCGAUUCCCAGUCAGGGCACAUGCCUGGGUUGCUGGCCAGGUUCCUAGUAGCGGGGCACUUGAGAGGCAACUACACAUUGAUGUUUCUCCCCCCUCUCCCUUCU